rnacentral:rRNA from 1 species
GACGAACGCUGGCGGCGUGCUUAACACAUGCAAGUCGAGCGGUAAGGCCCUUCGGGGUACACGAGCGGCGAACGGGUGAGUAACACGUGAGCAACCUGCCCCUGACUCCGGGAUAAGCGGUGGAAACGCCGUCUAAUACCGGAUACGACCCGCCACCUCAUGGUGGAGGGUGGAAAGUUUUUCGGUCAGGGAUGGGCUCGCGGCCUAUCAGCUUGUUGGUGGGGUAACGGCCUACCAAGGCGAUUACGGGUAGCCGGCCUGAGAGGGCGACCGGCCACACUGGGACUGAGACACGGCCCAGACUCCUGCGGGAGGCAGCAGUGGGGAAUAUUGCGCAAUGGGCGAAAGCCUGACGCAGCGACGCCGCGUGGGGGAUGACGGCCUUCGGGUUGUAAACCUCUUUUACCACCAACGCAGGCUCGAAGUUCUCUUCGGGUUGACGGUAGGUGGGGAAUAAGGACCGGCUAACUACGUGCCAGCAGCCGCGGUAAUACGUAGGGUCCGAGCGUUGUCCGGAAUUAUUGGGCGUAAAGAGCUCGUAGGCGGCGUGUCGCGUCUGCUGUGAAAGACCGGGGCUUAACUCCGGUUCUGCAGUGGAUACGGGCAUGCUAGAGGUAGGUAGGGGAGACUGGAAUUCCUGGUGUAGCGGU